rnacentral:rRNA from 1 species
UACGUAGGGGGCUAGCGUUGUCCGGAUUUAUUGGGCGUAAAGAGCGUGUAGGCGGCCAGGUAGGUCUGGUGUGAAAACUCGAGGCUUAACCUUGAGAUGUCAUCGGAAACCAUUUGGCUAGAGUCCGGAAGAGGAAAGUGGAAUUCCUGGUGUAGCGGUGAAAUGCGCAGAUAUCAGGAAGAACACCAAUGGCGAAAGCGCUCUGCUAGGCCGCAACUGACACUGAGGGACGAAAGCUAGGGGAGCGAAUGGG